UACAGAGGUCUCAAGCGUUGUUCGGAUUCAUUGGGCGUAAAGGGUGUGUAGGUGGCGCGCUAAGUCGGGUGUGAAAUCUCGGGGCUUAACUCCGAAACUGCAUUCGAUACUGCCGUGCUUGAGGACUGGAGAGGAGACUGGAAUUCAUGGUGUAGCAGUGAAAUGCGUAGAGAUCAUGAGGAAGACCAGUGGCGAAGGCGGGUCUCUGGACAGUUCCUGACGCUGAGGCACGAAGGUCAGGGGAGCAAACGGG
rnacentral:rRNA from 1 species